GGGCGCGUAGCUCAGUUGGUAGAGCAGCUGACUCUUAAUCAGCGGGUCCACGGUUCGAGCCCGUGCGCGCCCA
rfam:Hoeflea sp. IMCC20628, complete genome.